rnacentral:rRNA from 1 species
AUUGAACGCUGGCGGCAUGCCUUACACAUGCAAGUCGAGCGGCAGCACGGGAGCAAUCCUGGUGGCGAGUGGCGAACGGGUGAGUAAUAUAUCGGAACGAGCCCAGUCGUGGGGGAUAACGCAGCGAAAGCUGUGCUAAUACCGCAUACGAUCUAUGGAUGAAAGCGGGGGAUCGAAAGAUCUAGCGCGAUUGGAGCGGCAGAUAUCAGAUUAGCUAGUUGGUGAGGUAAAGGCUCACCAAGGCGACGAUCUGUAGCUGGUCUGAGAGGACGACCAGCCACACUGGAACUGAGACACGGUCCAGACUCCUACGGGAGGCAGCAGUGGGGAAUUUUGGACAAUGGGCGAAAGCCUGAUCCAGCAAUGCCGCGUGCAGGAUGAAGGCCUUCGGGUUGUAAACUGCUUUUGUACGGAACGAAACGGUGAGCUCUAAUACAGUUUGCUAAUGUCGGUACCGUAGGAAUAAGCACCGGCUAACUACGUGCCAGCCGCCGCCGUAA